rnacentral:rRNA from 1 species
UUCUAUAGAAUGAGUGUUGAAUACACCGGUUCUCGUCCGAUCACCGAAGUUAAGCAACGUCGGGCGCGGUCAGUACUUGGAUGGGUGACCGCCUGGGAACACCGCGUGAUGUUGGCU